rnacentral:misc_RNA from 1 species
UACAGAUGGUGCGAGCGUUAAUCGGAUUUACUGGGCGUAAAGCGUGCGUAGGCGGCUUUUUAAGCCAGAUGUGAAAUCCGCGAGCUUAACUUGGGAAUUGCAUUCGAUACUGGGAAGCUAGAGUAUGGGAGAGGAUGGUAGAAUGCCAGGUGUAGCGGUGAAAUGCGUAGAGAUCUGGAGGAAUACCGAUGGCGAAGGCAGGCAUCUGGCCUAAUACUGACGCGGAGGUACGCAAGCAUGGGGAGCAAACAGG